UCCAAGAGGGACUCGAGGGAGGCUGUCCGUUGGUCUUCCAUGACUCUCAAGGUGGUGGCUACUGAUAGACCUAGAGGCCAUAGUCAUACUCCCAGUUCUAAUCGUUCAGCAACGGACCUCCGCCCCCCCAUGACGAUCACCCCCACAUUCGGCUCUAAGCGCCACCAAUCACUGGUCCUUAGAUCGUCGAUCCUCUCCCGACUUCUCCUUUUAGCUCUCACCAUCGUCUGGCGCACACUCCUCACCCCCCACGACACCUCCGCCCCACUCAACCCUUCCUGCCUAUCCCACCACCACGAUCCCCCACCGAUUCUCUUUCCCUCUGUGGCCUCCGCCGUCGAACGCGGCGUCGUGUGGGACUCCGUCUACUUCCUCCGCAUCGCCCACUGCGGCUACGAGUACGAGCAGUCCUACGCCUUCCUCCCUCUCCUCCCCCUCACAAUUUCCUUCCUCUCUCGCACGGUAUUUGCGCCAUUGGUACCGUUAAUCGGAUAUAGAGCGGUGCUGGGGCUGUCUGGCUAUGUGAUCAAUAACCUCACGUUUGUCUUCGCGGCGAUAUACUUUUACAAGCUUUCAGUUAUUAUUUUGAAGGAUUCUGACUCCGCAUUGCGGGCUUCCAUCUUGUUUUGCUUCAAUCCAGCAUCGGUAUUUUAUUCGGCGAUAUAUUCAGAGAGUCUGUAUGCCUUGUUUUCUAUUGGAGGGAUAUACCACCUGGUCACAGGUGGAAAUAGUAUUGCUGUUCUUCUGCUUGCUCUCUCUACUUGUGCCAGGUCUAACGGAGUGCUUAACGCUGGCUAUUUUUGUUUUCAGACGCUACAUCAAGCUUAUGAUGCUGUAUUUGUCAAAAGACAUGCUUAUUUGGCGGUACAGGUCCUUAUUUCUGGUGCUUUGCACUGCAUAUGUAUUUUCACUCCAUUUAUUGCGUUUCAAGCAUAUGGAUACUACAAUAUAUGUCUAGGACAUUCCAUAGAUGAAAUGAGGCCCUGGUGCAAAGCAAGACUACCUCUUCUGUACAACUAUAUUCAAAGUCAUUAUUGGGGGGUAGGUUUCUUGAGAUAUUUUCAGCUGAAACGGUUGCCAAACUUCUUACUGGCAUCUCCUAUAUUGUCUUUGGCACUUUGUUCUAUUGUCUAUUAUGCAAAGUCAAGGCCUGAAAUUUUUUUCUUACUGGGCCUUCUAGCUUCUGUUGAGGAAAAGAAUUCUUCAGCUGUGCUUUUCUCUCUGGAGACAGUUCAAAGAUCAAGUAUUGCCCGCUUUCCAGGGCGUCACAAUCUCAGACAGAGGAAGCAUAUGACUAGAGGGGAUCCUGUUGCUCUCCCACUGGAAAAUGAUUCAUUAGCAAAGCUGGGAUACUUGACUGUCUCUUGUCUCCCAUUUAUUCUGCAAUUGGCAUUUAUGGCAGCCACAGCAUUUUUUGUCAUGCAUGUGCAGGUGGCUACACGCUUUUUGUCUGCCAGCCCUCCCCUUUAUUGGUUUGCCUCAAAUCUAAUGGUACAACGUAAGAGAUGGGCAUAUCUGAUUUGGGCAUACUCUGCAGCCUACAUACUUCUUGGCAGUUUGCUAUUUUCGAACUUUUAUCCUUUCACAUGAUAAGAUCGGUAGUGGCCCUCUUACCUGCUGGUUAAGGCUGGUCUAAAUGCACUUGGGUUUGCAUCAUUUACCUCAGCUUGGAUUGAUUUCAUAUGCAGAACGAUAAGAUCUAAAAUCAACUUCUUGUCUUAGCGCUAUAUUUUUUUACAGGAUAGAGAAGCUGUUCAUUCCUGUAGGUUUGAGAUGAAGCUUUUGUUGCAGCAUUAGACUGAGAAAAUGUAUUUCUAUACCAUAACUCUGGGGGUGCAGGCAUUCUACAGCAGCAGCAGCAGGCAUAGACCCAAAAAGCAGUGGUACAAGAUUGGGAAUUCUCGACUAUUUCUAGCCCACGUCUAACUCCACAGUUCCACUUCGGGUCCAGUUAUUGCUUGAUCCUGGUUUGGCUUUGUUCAUGCAAAUUCGUUGCUACCUCUCUCUCUCUCUCUCAAUUUUCCACUGAUUUUUGUUAAGGCUGCUGCAUGCUCGUGAUACAUACAUACAUGUAAACAACUGAUCAUGAGUUGCUGGAAAUUUUGUCGAGAUGUUCCCGUGUAGUCUCUCUCUCUUAGAACUUAAUGCAGUCGAAGAUAAUUAUAACACAGCCAAUAUUCGAAUUACUUUACUUUGGGUGGGUCUGCCUUAAAUAAAUAUCAAAUAUAGUCGGAAAUUUUGUUGAAGGUUGAUCGCAGGCUCUAGCGUCAAAGUGUGUAUAGAUCCAGCUGCCACUAGUCUUCUGGUUUAAUCAUGCGGAAAUUAUGUGUAUGCCCAAUAAAUAUUACGAACAAAUUGUCACGACUCAUCAAUAUGUAUUCGACAGGUAAUUUCCUGCUUUUUUUUA